UCCAGCUGCUGCACCAGCAGCGACAAGAGCUAUUCGCCUUUCUCGGUUGUUUUCCAUCAUCAUUGAACAUCCAUAGGCACAAGAUUUACCUAUAUCUACACUGGGGCCUUCAGGACCUAAAGAACAACCAGUUCCCAAAGUCACAGCAGCCUGAAUAGCCUUUACAGUAGGGAAGACUCCAGCUAACAAAUCAAACCCUUGUCCCUGAG
rnacentral:misc_RNA from 1 species